GAUGAAGAACGUAGCGAAAUGCGAUACGUAAUGUGAAUUGCAGAAUUCAGUGAAUCAUCGAAUCUUUGAACGCAUAUUGCGCUCUCUGGUAUUCCGGAGAGCAUGCUUGUUUGAGUAUCAGUAAACACCUCAACUCCCUUUUCUUUUUUGAAAUGGGAGCUGGACUUGAGUGAUCCCAACACUUUUCUCACUGGAAAGUGGCGGGUCACUUGAAAUGCAGGUGCAGCUGGACUUUUCUCUGAGCUAUAAGCAUAUCUAUUUAGUCUGCCUAAAAAACAGAUUAUUACCUUUGCUGCAGCUAACAUAAAGGAGAUGAGUUCUUGUGCUGACUGAUGCAGGAUUCAUAGAGACAGCUUUGCGGCUGACUUUGUAAACUCGAUCUCAAAUCAAGUAAGACUACCCGCUGAACUUAAGCAUAUCAAUAAGCGGAGGA
rnacentral:misc_RNA from 1 species